GGCUGGUCCAAGUACAGUAGUGUUUACAACUAUGUGAUCACAGCCAGUUACAGAUUUCUUUGUUCCUUCUCCAUCCCCCCUGCUUUACUUGACUAGCCAAAA
ensembl:Y_RNA Y_RNA Y RNA